AUUGAACGCUGGCGGCAUGCUUUACACAUGCAAGUCGAACGGCAGCGGGGAGGAGCUUGCUUCUCUGCCGGCGAGUGGCGAACGGGUGAGUAAUACAUCGGAACGUGUCGAGAAGAGGGGGAUAACCACCCGAAAGGGUGGCUAAUACCGCAUAAAUUCUGAGGAAGAAAGCUGGGGACCUGGGAAUAGGCCUAGCGCUUUUUGAGCGGCCGAUGUCGGAUUAGCUAGUUGGUGAGGUAAAGGCUCACCAAGGCGAAAAUCUGUAGCGGGUCUGAGAGGAUGAUCCGCCACACUGGGACUGAGACACGGCCCAGACUCCUACGGGAGGCAGCAGUGGGGAAUUUUGGACAAUGGGGGCAACCCUGAUCCAGCCAUGCCGCGUGUAUGAAGAAGGCCUUAGGGUUGUAAAGUACUUUUGUUAGGGAAGAAAAGUCAGCUGUGAAUAAUGGCUGAUACUGACGGUACCUAAAGAAUAAGCACCGGCUAACUACGUG
rnacentral:rRNA from 1 species